rnacentral:rRNA from 1 species
GACGAACGCUGGCGGCGUGCUUAACACAUGCAAGUCGUACGGUAAGGCCCUUUCGGGGGUACACGAGUGGCGAACGGGUGAGUAACACGUGAGUAACCUGCCCACAACUUUGGGAUAACGCUAGGAAACUGGUGCUAAUACUGGAUAUGUGCUCCUGCUGCAUGGUGGGGGUUGGAAAGCUCCGGCGGUUGUGGAUGGACUCGCGGCCUAUCAGCUUGUUGGUGGGGUAGUGGCCUACCAAGGCGGCGACGGGUAGCCGGCCUGAGAGGGUGACCGCCACAUUGGGACUGAGAUACGGCCCAGACUCCUACGGGAGGCAGCAGGGGGGAAUAUUGCACAAUGGGCGCAAGCCUGAUGCAGCAACGCCGCGUGCGGGAUGACGGCCUUCGGGUUGUAAACCGCUUUCAGCAGGGACGAAGCUUUUUGUGACGGUACCUGCAGAAGAAGCACCGGCUAACUACGUG